GCCUGGGUGGCUCAGUCAGUUUAGCGUCUGACUUUGGCUCAGGUCAUGAUCUCGCAAUUUGUGGGUUCCAGCCCCACAUUGGGCU
rfam:Felis catus isolate Cinnamon breed Abyssinian chromosome F1, whole genome shotgun sequence.